AAGGAAUAUUGGUCAAUGGGCGCAAGCCUGAACCAGCCAUGCCGCGUGCAGGAAGACGGCCCUAUGGGUUGUAAACUGCUUUUGUCAGGGAAUAAACCCCCGCUCGUGAGCGGGGCUGAAGGUACCUGAAGAAUAAGCAUCGGCUAACUCCGUGCCAGCAGCCGCGGUAAUACGGAGGAUGCAAGCGUUAUCCGGAUUCGUUGGGUUUAAAGGGUGCGCAGGCGGAUUGGUAAGUCAGGGGUGAAAUCCCACAGCUCAACUGUGGAACUGCCUUUGAUACUGUCAGUCUAGAGUAUAGUUGAAGUGGGCGGAAUGUGUCAUGUAGCGGUGAAAUGCUUAGAUAUGACACAGAACACCGAUCGCGAAGGCAGCUCGCUAAGCUAUAACUGACGCUCAGGCACGAAAGCGUGGGGAUCAAACAG
rnacentral:rRNA from 1 species